GACAUAGGUGGCAAACGUUAUCCGGAAUCACUGGGCGUAAAGGGUGCGUAGGCGGCCGCGCAAGUCUGGCGUGAAAGCCCCGGGCUCAGCCCGGGAAGGGCGCUCGAAACGGCGCGGCUCGAGUGCCGGAGGGGAGAGUGGAAUUCCUGGUGUAGCGGUGAAAUGCGUAGAUAUCAGGAGGAAUACCGGUGGCGAAAGCGACUCUCUGGACGGCAACUGACGCUGAGGCACGAAAGCGUGGGGAGCAAACAGG
rnacentral:rRNA from 1 species